rnacentral:rRNA from 1 species
UUAAUUGAAGAGUUUGAUCAUGGCUCAGAUUGAACGCUGGCGGCAGGCUUAACACAUGCAAGUCGAGCGGUAGCACAGGGGAGCUUGCUCCCUGGGUGACGAGCGGCGGACGGGUGAGUAAUGUCUGGGAAACUGCCUGAUGGAGGGGGAUAACUACUGGAAACGGUAGCUAAUACCGCAUAACGUCGCAAGACCAAAGAGGGGGACCUUCGGGCCUCUUGCCAUCAGAUGUGCCCAGAUGGGAUUAGCUAGUAGGUGGGGUAAUGGCUCACCUAGGCGACGAUCCCUAGCUGGUCUGAGAGGAUGACCAGCCACACUGGAACUGAGACACGGUCCAGACUCCUACGGGAGGCAGCAGUGGGGAAUAUUGCACAAUGGGCGCAAGCCUGAUGCAGCCAUGCCGCGUGUGUGAAGAAGGCCUUCGGGUUGUAAAGCACUUUCAGCGAGGAGGAAGGUGGUGAACUUAAUACGUUCA